rnacentral:rRNA from 1 species
GACGAACGCUGGCGGCGUGCUUAACACAUGCAAGUCGAGCGGAGCGGCGAACGGGUGAGUAACACGUGAGUAACUGCCCCCCUCUCUGGGAUAACAGUUGGAAACGGCUGCUUAUAACGGCUAGUGGGGUUGGACUCGCGUCCUAUCAGCUUGUUGGUGGGGUAGUGGCCUACCAAGGCGACGACGGGUAGCCGGCCUGAGAGGGGGACCGGCCACAUGAGGCUGAGGUACGGCCCAAACGCCUACGGGAGGCAGCAGGGGGGAAUAUUACACAACGGGGCAAACUCUGAUGCAGCAACGCGCGUGCGGAAGGAAGGUCUUCGGGUUGUAAACCGCUUUCAGCCAUGACGCGGUAGUGGCAGAAGAAGCACCGGCUAACUACGUGCCAGCAGCCGCGGUAAUUC